AAUGAACGUUGGCGGCAUGGAUUAGGCAUGCAAGUCGAGCGAGAAGGGUUUUGAAGCUUGCUUUGAAACCCGGAAAGCGGCGCAAGGGAGAGUAACGAGUAGUUAUCUACCCCAAGGCCCGGAAUAGCUGCGGGAAACUGCAGGUAAUGCCGGAUAAUAUCCCCGGAUCAAAGGCGUGAUUCCGCCUUGGGAGGAGACUGCUUUGUACUAGCUAGUUGGUAGGGUAAUGGCCUACCAAGGCUACGAUGCAUAGCGGGCGUGAGAGCGUGGCCCGUCUCACUGGGACUGAAACACUGCCCAGACACCUACGGGUGGCUGCAGUCGAGAAUCUUCGGCAAUGGGCGAAAGCCUGACCGAGCGAUGCCGCGUGCGGGAUGAAGGCCCUCGGGUUGUAAACCGCUGUCGUAGAGGAGAAAGGUCUGAUGAAGAAUCAGAUUUGAUCUAUUCUAGGAGGAAGUCCGGGCUAAGUUCGUGC
rnacentral:rRNA from 1 species